UCUUGCGCAGCUUAGGUGGGAGGCUAUGAACCUUUUCUUCUGGGAAGAGGGGAGCCAUCAGUGAGAUACCACUCUUGGUAAGCUAGAGCGCUCAGUCUUCACCGUCAUCCGGUAAGACGACAGUUUCAGGCGGGCAGUUCGACUGGGGCAGUCACCUCCCAAAAGGUAAUGGAGGUGUGCAAAGGUUCCCUCAGGCUGGACGGAAAUCAGCCAUAGAGUGUAAAAGCAUAAGGGAGCUUGACUGCGAGACUGACAUGUCAAGCAGAGACGAAAGUCGGCUUUAGUGAUCCGACGGUGCUGUGUGGAGAGGCCGUCGCUCAACGGAUAAAAGUUACUCUAGGGAUAAC
rnacentral:rRNA from 1 species